GGGCUAAGUGUGUGGACUGUCUGGUAGGUAAAUCCGCUGGGCGUGAAGGUUGAGGCAUGAUGGGGAGCCCACGGUUGUGGGUGAGUGAGUGAUCCUGUACUGUCGAGAAAAGCUUCGUGAGCGAGGUGGCGGGUCCGCCCGUACCCUAAACCGACACUGGUGGAUAGGUAGAGUAUACCGAGGCGAUCGAGUGAAUCG
rnacentral:rRNA from 1 species